GACUAAAAUCCGCUGGCAUAGAUCUUGAGGGUUCGAGUCCCUCUACCCCCA
rnacentral:tRNA from 1 species